rnacentral:rRNA from 1 species
AGCAGCCGCGGUAAUUCCAGCUCCAAUAGCGUAUAUAAAGUUGUUGCAGUUAAAAGCUCUAGUUGAAUUUCGGGGUCAAGUUUAGGUUCGGGUUGGCUGCUGGGGCCCAUUCCCGGAUAUCGGUUCCAGCCAUGGCUUGACCCUUCACGUAGAUUUCCGGAUUUCCCCUUUACCCCUUCUGGAAAAUUAACCGAAGGCCAUUGGCUUAAAUUUAAGGU